AUUGUCUUCAUGUGCUUUAACCUCCACUAGAGGGCCAAAUGAUCAAGUAGUUGCUCCACUUCUCCAGCACCUGCCUUCAAAUAACUGCUGCUGAGAAGAGAGUUCUAGUCACUCUGGAUUAAAGAGCUUCAGCUAGUUCCUCCUGUUGAUUGAAUCCUUGUUGUAGAGAUGGAGCGUUGGCUGUGGAUCAUUCUGGCUGCUCUUUUCUUUGCUCAGUCACAAAAGUGUAAAGGAGAAGACAGAGUCAUUCAGACAGCAGGAGAUGUCACUGCUUUGGAAGGAGAUCCAGUCACACUUGAAUGUUCAUUUGAGACCUCUGACCCAUACCCCUAUUUGUUCUGGUACAAACAAGAAGUUGGUGAUUUCCCAAAGUACAUGCUGAAACUUUACGCAGAUACAACAGAUUUUGCUCCUGGGACCGACAAAGACAGAUUUAAUGCUGCAAUCAAGGAGAAAUCAGUUCCUCUGAAGAUCCAGAAGCUUCAGCUGACUGACUCUGCUGUGUACUACUGUGCUCUGAGGCCCACAGUGACAGGAAACACCAACACUCUGUACAAAAACCUUUGGAGCAAACACAACACAAUACUCCACAACAUCCACUAGAGGGAGACAUCAUCAAGCAGGUGUUGCUCUUCCUCUGUGUUCAACCAUCCUGACAAUAAAAAGGCUGCUGUGAAGAGAACAGUGGUUCUCAAAGUGGGGUCCUGGGACCCCUGGGGGUCCUUGAACCAUAGC